rnacentral:rRNA from 1 species
CCUACGGGUGACAGCAGUGAGGAAUAUUGGUCAAUGGGCGCGAGCCUGAACCAGCCAAGUCGCGUGAGGGAAGACGGCCCUACGGGUUGUAAACCUCUUUUGCCGGGGAGCAACGGGCGCCACGUGUGGCGCCACUGAGAGUACCCGGAGAAAAAGCAUCGGCUAACCCCGUGCCAGCAGCCGCGGUAAUACGGAGGAUGCGAGCGUUAUCCGGAUUUAUUGGGUUUAAAGGGUGCGUAGGCGGUGCGUUAAGUCAGUGGUCAAAUUGAGGGGCUCAACCCCUUCCCGCCGUUGAAACUGGCGGUCUUGAGUAGAAGAGAAGUAUGCGGAAUGCGUGGUGUAGCGGUGAAAUGCAUAGAUAUCACGCAGAACCCCGAUUGCGAAGGCAGCAUGCCGGCUUCCUACUGACGCUGAGGCACGAAAGCGUGGGGAUCGAACAGGAUUAGAUACCCGUGUAGUC